rnacentral:tRNA from 1 species
CCUAGAUUCGUCUAACUGGCAGGACACCGGGCCCUGAACCCGGCAGUUGAGGUUCGAAUCCUUGGUCUAGGG